rnacentral:rRNA from 1 species
CGCGUGUGGGACGAAGGCCUUCGGUUGUAAACCGCUUCAGCCGGAAAGAAAUACGCUGUUUUUAAUUACAGACAGUGGAUGACGGUACCGGAAGAAGAAGCACCGGCUAACUACGUGCCAGCAGCCGCGGUAAUACGUAGGGUGCGAGCGUUAAUCGGAAUUACUGGGCGUAAAGCGUGCGCAGGCGGUUUUGUAAGCCAGACGUGAAAAUCCCCGGGCUUAACCUGGGAACUGCGUUUGGAACUGCAAGACUAGAGUGUGUCAGAGGGGAGGUGGAAUUCCACGUGUAGCAGUGAAAUGCGUAGAUAUGUGGAGGAACACCGAUGGCGAAGGCAGCCUCCUGGGAUAACACUGACGCUCAUGCACGAAAGCGUGGGGAGCAAACAGGAUUAGAUACCCUGGUAGUCCACGCCCUAAACGAUGUCAACUGGCUGUUGGGAGAGAAAUCUUUCAGUUAGCGAAGCUAACGCGUGAAGUG